rnacentral:rRNA from 1 species
GACGAAGGGGGCUAGCGUUGUUCGGAAUUACUGGGCGUAAAGCGCGUGUAGGCGGUUAUUCAAGUCAGGUGUGAAAGCCUUGAGCUCAACUCAAGAAAUGCACUUGGUACUGGGUGACUAGAGGACCGGAGAGGAUAGUGGAAUUCCCAGUGUAGUGGUGAAAUACGUAGAGAUUGGGAAGAACACCAGUGGCGAAGGCGGCUAUCUGGACGGUUUCUGACGCUAAGACGCGAAAGCGUGGGGAGCAAACAGG